rnacentral:rRNA from 1 species
UACGUAGGGUGCAAGCGUUAUUCGGAAUUACUGGGCGUAAAGCGUGCGCAGGCGGUGAUGUAAGACAGUUGUGAAAUCCCCGGGCUUAACCUGGGAACUGCAUCUGUGACUGCAUCGCUGGAGUGCGGCAGAGGGGGAUGGAAUUCCGCGUGUAGCAGUGAAAUGCGUAGAUAUGCGGAGGAACACCGAUGGCGAAGGCAAUCCCCUGGGCCUGCACUGACGCUCAUGCACGAAAGCGUGGGGAGCAAACAGG